GUUCGAUUCGAGCGUCAGCGAGAAAGCGUUGCCGCAGGCAACGACCCGAAGGGCGAAGCGCGCAGCGCUGAGUCAUCCUUCCCCCACCACCA
rnacentral:sRNA from 4 species